rnacentral:piRNA from 1 species
ACUGAUGUCUCCAUGUUUCUGAG